rnacentral:rRNA from 1 species
CACGUAGGGGACGAGCGUUGUCCGGAUUCAUUGGGGCGUAAAGCGCGCGUAGGCGGCUCGGAAAGUCGGUCGUGAAAUGCCGGGGCUCAACCCCGGGACUGCGUCCGAUACUCCCGAGCUGGAGGCAGGUAGGGGAGAUCGGAAUCCUGGUGUAGCGGUGGAAAUGCGCAGAUAUCAGGAGGACACCGGUGGCGAAGGCGGGACUCUGGGCCGAUGCUGACGCUGAGGAGCGAAAGCGUGGGAGCAACAGG